UCUCCGUUGGUGAACCAGCGGAGGGAUCAUUACCGAGUUUUUUUACUCCCAAACCCCUGUGAACUUAUACCUUUACUGUUGCUUCGGCGGGGUAACGCCCAAGAAGUCCCAAGAAGCUGCCGUAACCAGGCGCCCACCGAGCAACCCAAACUCUUGUAUUUCUUACUUUGAAUGUCUGAUUGGAAUCAUAAACAAAUGAAUCAAAACUUUCAACAACGGAUCUCUUGGUUCUG
rnacentral:misc_RNA from 1 species